rnacentral:rRNA from 1 species
UACGUAGGGGGCAAGCGUUGUCCGGAAUCAUUGGGCGUAAAGCGCGUGUAGGCGGUUCGAUAAGUCUGCUGUGAAAGUCCAGGGCUCAACCCUGGAAAGCCGGUGGAUACUGUCGGACUAGAGUACGGAAGAGGCGAGUGGAAUUCCCGGUGUAGCGGUGAAAUGCGCAGAUAUCGGGAGGAACACCAAUUGCGAAGGCAGCUCGCUGGGACGUCACUGACGCUGAGACGCGAAAGCGUGGGGAGCGAACAGG